GAGACCUUAAUUUAAUAGGAAAAAUAUAUGACUUUUAAUCAUUAGUACAAGGGUUCAAGUCCCUUAGGUCUUA
rnacentral:tRNA from 1 species